GUAGGUUGUAAUAAGGUCGUCACUAACUCUGAUAAUUUGGAAGUGGUGAAUACUAUGAAUGAGGGAGGAAGAUCGGCAGGACCAGCAGCAACAAUCUUCGACGACUGUUAUCACAUGGCAUGUGAUUUUCUUUAUACUUCCUUUGUGCAUUGCCCCAAAGAGGCAAAUAUGGUCGCCCAUGAACUGGCAAAUUUGGCAAAGGGGCCUUUAUGUAGUAGUUUCUUCGAUAAGACUCCUAGUGAACUUAUCCCGCUUUUACUCAGCGAUGUAACUCUUGUAACACCGUAA
rnacentral:rRNA from 1 species